GGCUCAUUGGCCUAGGGGUAUGAUUCUUGCUUAGGGUGUGAGAUGCCUCAGGUUCAAAUACCAGAUGAGCCC